rnacentral:lncRNA from 1 species
UCCGAUUCCGGUACAAACCGGAAUCAUACCGGUCCGGUUAGCGAUCGGUACGCCUGCCGGAUCCGGUAUGGCGGACCUUGGUCAAAAGCCAUGAGACCAGGGUCGGCGGAACCAGUACCAGAUAUCGUACCGGUUGCCCGGUGGAACGAGUCGGUACGGGCCUGCAUUGUGCCGUGCUAGGACCGUACCGACAUAGUAGAAGAGAUGGAGGAGAGGGAGAACGAGAGAAAAAGAAAGAGAAGGGGGAGGUCGAGGGAGGUUGGCGGAGAGCCAGCGGAGGGCCGGAGAGCCGCCGCGCAGAGGAGGUUCAUGCCGGAGAGUCGUCGAGAAGCCGCAGAAGAAGGGCUCCCUCUGGGCCCAUGUUUUGAACUAAUUGCCGACUUCACUUAAUUUUUAAGGGAGCUCCUCUUCCACGGCUCCCUUCGCAUGGCGGCUCCUCAGCCUCUGCCGGCCGGCCGUGGCCUCGACCUUUCUCUUUCUUUUCUCCUCUCUUCCUCCGUCCCUCGUCUCUCUAUUCCCCUUUUUCUUCGUCUUCUCGGACACUGGUCUCGUUUUCAUCGCCAGAACUGUCUUGGUCCGCGGCCGGUACGGCUCGGGACGCUCCGAACCGGAUAGUU